rnacentral:rRNA from 1 species
CUCUUCGGGGAUGAUUAAACCGGCGCACGGGUGAGUAACACGUGAGUGACCUGCCUUUUAGACUGGAACAACUUACCGAAAGGUGAGCUAAUGCCGGAUGAGUUAUAUAAGUGCAUGUUUAUAUAGGAAAAGUUGGGGAGACCUGACGCUGAAAGAUGGACUCGCGUCCCAUUAGCUAGUUGGUAGGGUAAUGGCCUACCAAGGCGACGAUGGGUAGCCGGCCUGAGAGGGUGGCCGGCCACACUGGGACUGAGACACGGCCCAGACUCCUACGGGAGGCAGCAGUGGGGAAUUUUGCGCAAUGCUCGUAAGAGUGACGCAGCGACGCCGCGUGAAUGACGAAGGCCUUCGGGUCGUAAAGUUCUUUCGACAGGGAAGAAAAUGCCUAUAAGUAACUGUGUAUGUAUUGACGGUACCUGUAUAAGCAGCCCCGGCUAACUCCGUGCCAGCAGCCGCGGUAAUACGGAGGGGGCGAGCGUUGUUCGGAGUGACUGGGCGUAAAGAGCACGUAGGCGGUGUUGUAAGUCAUUAGUCAAAGACUAGAGCUCAACUUUAGUAAGGCUAGUGAUACUAUAAUACUAGAGUAUCAGAGAGGAUUGCAGAAUUCCUGGUGUAGCGGUGAAAUGCGUAGAUAUCAGGAGGAAUACCGUUAGCGAAGGCGGCAAUCUGGCUGGAAACUGACGCUGAGGUGCGAAAGCGUGGGUAGCAAACAGGAUUGGAUACCCUGGUAGUCCACGCUGUANACGAUGGAUGCUAGGUGUUGGGCUUUUAAGUUCANUGCCGCAGCAAACGCGAUAAGCAUCCCGCCUGGGG